AACGAACGCUGGCGGCAUGCUUAACACAUGCAAGUCGAACGAGACCUUCGGGUCUAGUGGCGCACGGGUGCGUAACGCGUGGGAAUCUGCCCUUAGGUACGGAAUAACUCAGAGAAAUUUGUGCUAAUACCGUAUGAUGUCGAAAGACCAAAGAUUUAUCGCCUAAGGAUGAGCCCGCGUAAGAUUAGCUUGUUGGUGAGGUAAAAGCUCACCAAGGCGACGAUCUUUAGCUGGUCUGAGAGGAUGAUCAGCCACACUGGGACAGAGACACGGCCCAGACUCCUACGGGAGGCAGCAGUGGGGAAUAUUGGACAAUGGGCGAAAGCCUGAUCCAGCGAUGCCGCGUGAGUGAUGAAGGCCUUAGGGUUGUAAAGCUCUUUUACCAGGGAUGAUAAUGACAGUACCUGGAGAAUAAGCUCCGGCUAACUCCGUGCCAGCCGCCGCCGUAA
rnacentral:rRNA from 1 species